GACAUUACGUAAUACGUAGACGUAUCUAGUAUCUACCUACUUUUGUUUACGUUUGUUUUUCAAACUUUUUUUGUAUUUAAAUUUAAAAUAACUUAAAUUUUGUAUUUUUCAAAUACAAAAUGGUUAAAAGUUGUUCAGGUAUAGUGUACAACGUUAAAGUGGGCCAAGGAAUUAAGUUCCACAGCUGCAUGUGGAUCAUUAUUUUGUGAGUCAAUUACUGUUUCUGAUUAAAAUGCAAAGGAAGAAGUUGUGACAUUGUCAACAUCAGAUUUAUAUGCUGAACCAUUAGAAAGUUAGAAUGUUCAAUAUCAAGUAUAACAGAGGCGCUAGACACAGUUAUAGUUUCAAAUGCAGCCACUAAACAUAAUAUAGUAGAAAUAAAAUAAUGUACAGAAAAGUCAUCAUCAGGUGCAUCUGCUGAACUUUCUAAAUCGUUAAAAUAUUCAAUGUCAAGUAUAACAGAGGCACCAGACAUAGUUAUAGUUUCUGCAGUUACUACACAGAAUAUGGUAGAAAUAAAAUUUAGUACAGAAAAAUCAUCAUCAGAUAUAUUU